GGCAGCAGUGGGGAAUUGUUCGCAAUGGGCGCAAGCCUGACGACGCAACGCCGCGUGGAGGAUGAAGGUCUUCGGAUUGUAAACUCCUGUUGCCCGGGACGAAACGCUUCGACCUAACACGUCGAAGUCUGACGGUACCGGGUGAGGAAGCCCCGGCUAACUCUGUGCCAGCAGCCGCGGUAAUACAGAGGGGGCAAGCGUUGUUCGGAAUUACUGGGCGUAAAGGGCGCGUAGGCGGCCUGCUAAGUCGAACGUGAAAUCCCCGGGCUCAACCCGGGAACUGCGUUCGAUACUGGUUGGCUUGAAUCCGGGAGAGGGAUGCGGAAUUCCAGGUGUAGCGGUGAAAUGCGUAGAUAUCUGGAGGAACACCGGUGGCGAAGGCGGCAUCCUGGACCGGCAUUGACGCUGAGGCGCGAAAGCCAGGGGAGCAAACGGGAUUAGAUACCCCGGUAGUCCUGGCCCUAAACGAUGAGUGCUUGGUGUGGCGGGUAUCGAUCCCUGCCGUGCCGAAGCUAACGCAUUAAGCACUCCGCCUGGGGAGUACGGUCGCAAGGCUGAAACUCAAAGGAAU
rnacentral:rRNA from 1 species